GUGUCAGCCGCCGCGGUAAGACAGAGGGUGCAAACGUUGUUCGGAAUUACUGGGCGUAAAGCGCAUGUAGGCGGCCAAGCAAGUCGGGUGUGAAAGCCCAGGGCUCAACCCUGGAAGUGCACUCGAAACUGCUCGGCUGGAGUCUCGGAGAGGAUCGCGGAAUUCUGGGUGUAGAGGUGAAAUUCGUAGAUAUCCAGAGGAACACCAGUGGCGAAGGCGGCGAUCUGGACGAGUACUGACGCUGAGAUGCGAAAGCGUGGGGAGCAAACAGGAUUAGAUACCCUGGUAGUCCACGCCUUAAACGAUGAGUGCUAGAUGUCGCGGGCAUUGACCCCUGCGGUGUCGUAGCUAACGCAUUAAGCACUCCGCCUGGGGAGUACGGCCGCAAGGCUAAA
rnacentral:rRNA from 1 species